rnacentral:rRNA from 1 species
UUUGAACGCUGGCGGCAGGCCUAACACAUGCAAGUCGAACGAGUGGCGGACGGGUGAGUAACGUCUGGGAAAUUGCCUGAUGGAGGGGGAUAACUACUGGAAACGGUAGCUAAUACCGCAUACCAUCGGAUGUGCCCAGAUGGAAUUAGCGAGUAGGUGGGGUAAAGGCUCACCUAGGCGACGACCCCUAGCUGGUCUGAGAGGAUGACCAACCAAACAGGAACUAAAACACGGGCCGAACUCCUACGGGAGGCAGCAGUGGGAAAUAUUGCCCAAUGGGCGCAAGCCUGAUGAGGCCAUGCCACGUGUAUAAAGAAGACCUUCGGAUUGUAAAGUACUUUAAGCGGGUAGGCGGUACCCGCAGAAGAAGCACCGGCUAACACCGUGCCAGCAGCCGCGGUAAUAG